ensembl:lincRNA
CCCCGAGCCCCCAGCAAGACACGGUUACAAAUGCAGAGUCCUGGCCUGCAGCUCAGCAACCUCCCCCAAAUGCCCGAGCCGGGUCCUCACCCCGAGGCGGACACAGUCCAGAGAAUUCGCAUCAAAUCCUGCUACCUUGAGGAUGCCACCGUCGGCCACAGUACCAAAAUGACCGUCGUCUCAGAAGGCCCUGGCUGGGGUGGGGCUGUGGGGCUCGGACACGACAGCAGGAGGGACCCUAGGGGGGAGCAGGAGGACACAGGUAAGCGUGGGGGCCCCAUCCGUUCCACGCUCACCCCAGGCAGCGCUCUGUUGGGGCCACACCCCUGAGGCACAGGCCCUGACCCGAGCCAGACAUCCGCGCUGACGGAGGGAGCGGUGCUGGGAGAAGCACUGGCUCGGCUCCGGGACUGCAGCCUUCUUGGGCCGGGCCGGACACAGUGAGGCCGAUGCCAAGCCCAGGCCUCUCCUGUGGCCGCCACACUCAGCAGCCAGCUGCCCCCCCAGGUCGCCUGCAGACCCAGGUCCUCCACUGGUGCUCAGCUGUGCCCCAGCUCCGGCCCCGCUCUGGGGUCGCACUUGGCGCAGCCCGAGGUGGGAAGGGAGGGUGGAGAGCCGGCCUGUGCCCAAACUGGCCCACUGUGCUGCGUCUGAGGUCUGUGCUAGGCCGCAAGUGGGCGGGGCAGCCUGGGCCUGGUGCCGCAGGAAGAGGCGGGCACGGGGCACCCUCGCGUCCCCAGGGCUCUCAGUCGGGGGGGGGGGUGGCCGGUGUGUGAGUGUGCACACGCGUGUCACAGGAGAGGACAGGUGCUGCUCCAACACGGGGGAUGCUGGAGGCCACUCCAGGGCAGCGGGGAGCCACAGGAGGGCAGAGAGGGUGCGCUGAGAUUUCUGCACUCACUGUGAAGAGAGGAAAUCAAGGGCUUCAGCUCCCAGACUUCUGGGAUUUGGAACGAGAGGCCACACCCGGUCCUGCCAGUGGCCAAGAAACCUGAUGAGCCAGAGUUUGGUGGACCAGCUGGCAUCACCAGGCAGCGCCUGCAGGCACCGGGCAAUGGUAGGACACCAAGUGAUCCGCCAGCCUGCUGUCUGCAUCCCUGAUGGCCCAGCACAGUGAGGAGACCCAGGACUCAUCCAGUGCUCCCUCCAGGACACCUGGGAGGCCCUUGUGUCUAGGACAUGGUGUGGGGGGGGUGGGCAUACUUAUCAGGGCUGAGGUAAGGAACUGAUGAAACUUGGGGAGUAGUGGGCUAGAGGCACCAUGGCCAGGCAACCAGGGUAGGAUCACUGGGAGUGAGAAGGAUCCGGCCAAGGACCUAGGACCAGCACCGCAGGUGGGUGGUGGCACGUGCAAAGGCACUGAGGUGGAAGCAAGGGGACCAGUUCAGAGUCACAGCCCUGGAGCAGGAGGAAGUGGGUCUGAGGAGCUGGGUCCUUGGCUGGUACCAAGUCUUUCAGAGCCUGGAAGUCCACAUGAAGAGCUGCAUUUUGUGGGGAGCGAGCUGGUGAGCCCCUGGAAGACUUGGAGCGGGGGCAAUGGGCUGCAAUGUGCCAUUUCAAAGUCCCACUGCAGACAGUCUGGGAACAAAGCAGGGAGCUGUCGCAGAUAUCCAGGCCAGAAAGGGCAGGGCUCUGGAAUGGGGACCUCAGUCCACUGAGCAAGCCUGCAGCCUGGGCACAGUGACCGUAGUCCCUGGUAGCCACAGAGCCUUGGUCACUGGAGGCGAGGCACUCACGUCCUGCCAUGGCCUCAUCUCUCCCCAGGCCCUCCUGAAGCCACGGGAUCCUCUGGAAGGUUCUGAUUCUCGGGAAUCUGAUUCUGAUUCUGAUCCUGAUUCUCGGGAACCCUGAAGCUCCACAGAGCUUCUGAGUGAGGACCCCAGAUGGGAGGUGUGGGGGCUCUGGUCAGGGUCAGGGUUGGGAGAGGGCCAGGAGGAAGCCAGGAGCAGGCACGCACAAGGAGCCUGUGGUGCUUCCUGCACCCCACGGAAAGCAGCUGUGACCCCGCUUCUCAACAGUGGGCUAGGCCUCGCACAGGGAUGGGCUCGGGCUGAGGGGGCCUUGGGGACCCCUUUGUGUCUCAGCCGGCCCUGCUCAGCCAUGUCUCUGCCCUGCUCCAUGGCCACCCAGGUUUCCUUCCAUCAUGGCUGCCUGCUGUGGUCUGACUUCCAGGCUGUGCUAAUGUGUUACAGCUGUGUUACUGCGUCUUCAGAGGUGACUGCCCUGCAAGGCUCCACCCUCAGGCAUGGCCUGAGAAGAAGGCCCAGGGAGGCAUCUUUGUCCCUUUUGCAAGCAGCAACAAGGUGCCAUCUUUGGAGAAAGAACAGCACCCACCAGACACUGAAUCUCCUGGUGGCUGCAUCUUGGCCUUCCUCACCCCUAAACUCUGAGAAAUAAAUGGCUG